UACGUAGGGGGCAAGCGUUGUCCGGAUUUACUGGGCGUAAAGAGCGCGCAGGCGGUCGGAUUAGUCGCGUGUGAAAGCCCCCGGCUCAACUGGGGAGGGUCACGCGAUACUGUUCGACUCGAAGGCAGGAGAGGGAAGUGGAAUUCCCGGUGUAGUGGUGAAAUGCGCAGAUAUCAGGAGGAACACCAGUGGCGAAGGCGACCGCCUGGACGGAGAUUGACGCUGAGGUGCGAAAGCAUGGGGAGCAAACAGG
rnacentral:rRNA from 1 species